rnacentral:rRNA from 1 species
GUUGUUGGUGAGGUAAUGGCUCACCAAGCCGAAGACGGGUAGCGGGUGUGAGAGCAUGACCCGNCGCAUCGGGACUGAGACACUGCCCGGACUCCUACGGGAGUGCUGCAGUAACGAAUAUUCCGCAAUGCGCGAAAGCGGUGACGGAGCAAUGCCGCGUGCAGGAUGAAGCCCCUCGGGGUGUAAACUGCUGUCAGGGGUUACCAAGCUCUGAGGAGCCCCAAAGGAAGGGCCGGCUAACUUCGUGCCAGCAGCCGCGGUAAUACGAAGGGCCCGAGCGUUAAUCGGAAUCAUUGGGGCUUAAAGCGUACGUAGGCGGGCGCGCAGGCAUCUUGUGAAAUCCCUCCGCUCAACGGAGGAACUGCAGGGUGAACCGCGUGCCUUGAGACAGGUAGGGACUGUCGGAACGCUAGGUGGAAUGGUGAAAUGCGUUGAUAUCAAGCGGAACGCCAAAGGAGAAAUCAGGCAGCUGGGCCUGUUCUGACGCUGAGGUACGAAAGCGUGGGGAGCGAACGGGAUUAGAUACCCCGGUAGUCCACGCUGUAAACGAUGUGCACUAGAUCGAGGGGGUUCUGACACUGCUCUCGGUCGAAGCGAAAGUGUUAAGUGCACCGCCUGGGGAGUACGGUCGCAAGGCUAAAACUCAAAGGAAUUGACGGGGGCUCACACAAGCGGUGGAGCAUGUGGCUUAAUUCGAAGCAACGCGAAGAACCUUAUCCUGGGUUUGACAUGUACGGAUUAACUCCUGGAAACAGGAGCCACGCCCUUCGGGUGGAACGUACACAGGUGCUGCAUGGCUGUCGUCAGCUCGUGCUGUGAAGUGUCGGGUUAAGUCCCUUAACGAGCGCAACCCCUAUCGCUAGUUGCCAGCGCGUCAUGGCGGGGACUCUAGCGAGACUGCCGGUGUCAAACCGGAGGAAGGUGGGGACGACGUCAAGUCCGCAUGGCCUUUAUGCCCAGGGCUGCACACGUGCUACAAUGGCCGGUACAGAACGAUGCAAGACCGCGAGGUGGAGCAAAUCGCUAAAACCGGCCCCAGUUCAGAUUGGAGGCUGCAACUCGCCUCCAUGAAGUCGGAAUCGCUAGUAAUCGGGGAUCAGCUACGCCCCGGUGAAUACGUUCCUGAGC